CAAAAGGUUUGGUCCUGGCCUUUUUAUUAGCUUUUAGUAGACUUACACAUGCAAACAUCCCUGUCCCUGUGAGAAUGCCCUCUAUAUCAUCAUGAUCAAAAGGUGCAGGUAUCAAGCUCACUAAAUAGUUGCUCAUAACACCUUGCUCAACCACACCCCCACGGGUUACAGCAGUGAUUAAGAUUAAGCCAUGAACGAAAGUUCGACUAAGUCAUACUAAAACCAGGGUUGGUAAAUUUCGUGCCAGCCACCGCGGUCAUACGAUUAACCCUAGUUAAUAGAACACGGCGUAAAGCGUGAUUAAAAACCUUGACUCAAUAAGACUAAGCUUAGACUAAGCUGUAAAAAGCCCCAGUCCCAAUAAAAAUAAUUAAACGAAAGUAGUCUUAAAAUAUUUGAAUUCACGAUAGCUAAGACCCAAACUGGGAUUAGAUACCCCACUAUGCUUAGCCCUAAACAUAAAUAUUCAACUAACAAGACUAUUCGCCAGAGUACUACUAGCAACAGCUUAAAACUCAAAGGACUUGGCGGUGCUUUACAUCCCUCUAGAGGAGCCUGUUCUAUAAUCGAUAAACCCCGAUACACCUCACCACCUUUUGCAAAUAUCAGCCUAUAUACCGCCAUCUUCAGCAAACCUUAACAAAGCCUCACAGUAAGCGCAAUAAUAACACAUAAAUACGUUAGGUCAAGGUGUAGCCUAUAAGGUGGGAAGAAAUGGGCUACAUUUUCUAUAUACCAGAACAGCCACAUAACGACAGCUUUUAUGAAACUUAAAGCCCAAGGCGGAUUUAGUAGUAAGCUAAGAAUAGAGUGCUUAGCUGAAUUGGGCAAUAAAGCACGCACACACCGCCCGUCACCCUCUUCAAAUCCUAUAAGCAAACAACAUACCUUAAUUCCCCUUACCAAUAGCAUGAGAAGAGAUAAGUCGUAACAAGGUAAGCAUACUGGAAAGUGUGUUUGGAACAAU
rnacentral:ncRNA from 1 species